rnacentral:rRNA from 1 species
UACAGAGGGGGCAAGCGUUAUUCGGAAUUAUUGGGCGUAAAGGGCGCGUAGGCGGCCUGGCAAGUGGAAGGUGAAAUCCCUCGGCUUAACCGAGGAACUGCCCUCCAAACUGCUUGGCUUGAGUCCGGGAGAGGUGAGUGGAAUUCCCAGUGUAGCGGUGAAAUGCGUAGAUAUCAGGAGGAACACCGGUGGCGAAGGCGGGUCUCUGGGCCUGUUCUGACGCUGAGGCGCGAAAGCUAGGGGAGCGAACAGG